rnacentral:misc_RNA from 1 species
GUGAAUCCAAGGUAAUCAUUGAUGUGGAUGUGGAUGACGAUGCUAAAGAGGAAGGAGAGUUGGAAGAAGGCGAGAUCGACUUGGAUUCCGCUGACCUAGUUGUAAAUUUUGGAAAGGAGGCCAAUUUCAUUAGGGAACAACUUCAGAGCGUUACUCUAGACGAAACCCACAAAUCCUUUUCUAUGGUUUGUUCCAAAUUGCAAACUUCAUUAC